AGAGUUUGAUCCUGGCUCAGGACGAACGCUGGCGGCGUGCCUAAUGCAUGCAAGUCGCACGCAGGAGCUUCGGCUUCUGAGUGGCGCACGGCUGAGGAACACGUGGGAACCAGUCCUCCAGUGGGGGAUAACGGCGCGAAAGCGCCGCUAAUCCCGCAUACGUUCGCCCUGUUGAGGGGUGAGGAAAGCCGCAAGGCGCUGGAGGGUGGGCCUGCGGCCCAUCAGGUCGUUGGUGGGGUAAUGGCCUACCAAGCCACUGACGGGUAGCUGGUCUGUGAGGACAACCAGCCAGACUGGGACUGAGACACGGCCCAGACUCCUACGGGAGGCAGCAGCAAGGAAUUUUCGGCAAUGGGCGCAAGCCUGACCGAGCAACGCCGCGUGCAGGACGACGGCCUUCGGGUUGUAAACUGCUUUUGGGGGGGAAGAAACGGACGGUACCCCCCGAAUAAGCCACGGCUAACUCUGUGCCAGCAGCCGCGGUAAUAC
rnacentral:rRNA from 1 species